rnacentral:tRNA from 1 species
GGUAAUAUGGCCGAGUGGUUUAAGGCGCCUGUUAGUUUUAACUAAAAAUUUGCCGUUUUGAAUUUGUCUCUAAUGAAUAUCACAGGACUUAAGUUAAUACUUGGGCUUUCAGGUCUCGCGAGAGGCGUGGGUUCGAACCCCACUGUUACCA